rnacentral:tRNA from 1 species
GCCCCCAUGGCGCAGUUGGUUAGCGCUUCGUACUUAUAAUGCGACGGUCGCCAGUUCGAGCCUGGCUGGGAGCA